rnacentral:misc_RNA from 1 species
CGCACAUUGCGCCCCUUGGUAUUCCGGGGGGCAUACCUGUUCGAGCGUCAUUACACCUCUCAAGCGUAGCUUGGUAUUGGGCCUCGCUCCCUCAAAAGGGCGUGCCUGAAAAGCAGUGGCGGUCCGGCGUGGCCUUGAACGUAGUAAAUUUUUCUCCCGUUCUGAAGGUCUGCGCCGUGGCUGGCCAUCAACUCCCCACACUUUCAAGAAUUGACCUCGGAUCAGGUAGGGAUACCCGCUGAACUUAA